rnacentral:rRNA from 1 species
CCUACGGGUGGCAGCAGUGAGGAAUAUUGGUCAAUGGGCGAGAGCCUGACCCAGCCAAGUCGCGUGAGGGAGUACUGCCCUAUGGGUUGUAAACCUCUUUUGUCGGGGAGCAAAAGCCGGACGUGUCCGGCUGUGAGAGUACCCGAAGAAAAAGCAUAGGCUAACUCCGUGCCAGCAGCCGCGGUAAUACGGAGGAUGCGAGCGUUAUCCGGAGUUUUUGGGUUAAAGGGGUGCGCAGGCGGAUUUUUAAGUCAGCGGUCAAAUCGUGGGGCUCAACCCCAUGCAGCCGUUGAAACUGGGGAUCUAGAGUGUGCGAGAGGUAAGCGGAAUGCGUGGUGUAGCGGUGAAAUGCAUAGAUAUCACGCAGAACCUCGAUGGCGAAGGCAGCAUACCGGUGCACAACUGACGCUCAGGCACUAAAGCGUGGGUAUCGAACAGGAUUAGAUACCCUGGUAGUC